GUGUGUGUGUUGUCUCUCUCCAGGUGUGUGUGUUGUCUCUCUCCAAGUGUGUGUGUUGUCUCUCCAGGUAUGUGUGUGUGUUGUCUCUCUCCAGGUAUGUGUGUGUUGUCUCUCUCCAGGUAUGUGUGUGUGUUGUCUCUCUCCAGGUAUGUGUGUGUGUUGUCUCUCUCCAGGUAUGUGUGUGUGUUGUCUCUCUCCAGUGUGUGUGUGUGUGUUGUCUCUCUCCAGGUAUGUGUGUGUGUUGUCUCUCUCCAGGUGUGUGUGUGUGUUGUCUCUCUCCAGGUAUGUGUGUGUGUUGUCUCUCUCCAGGUGUUCGGGCUACAGUGACGCUAGCUGAACUGCAGGAAGACUUCCUG
ensembl:lncRNA